CUACAAACUUAACAAACCAAAUGACUGCUCAAACAAACAUAAUUGACCUAAACAUGAAAUGACACACAGGGGUAUAUAUAAUGGCUGAUCAGACCAUUGUGACACAUGAGGGGUGACAAACAAACACAAUCAUAAAUCACAAAACAAUGCAGUACAUUCUAAUUUGUUAAUAAAGUAAACACUAAAGAAGAAAAUCAAAACCAUCAAACCCUAAACCCAAAUAUUUAAUUAAAUACAAAUACUUUGUUUUUAAAGUAAAGAAAACAUAUUCUCCCCUUUAGCAGGAAGUGGUGGUGUGGUCCAAUUAUCCCUCUUUUGCAUAUAAUGGUUUCAAACCCUGGCUACCAUCUUUUGUCCAGCAACUCCCAGGGAUGAUGGCGGUAAGAAAGAAAAAGACAAAGCUAAUAGAGACGUACGAAACACCAUCAUCAUCUUCAUUCUUCACAGUGAAGACAACAUAAUGACUGCUCAGUAAUAUGUGGAUUUAUAACAGAUGAAGCCCCAGCUCUGCUAACAAGCGCUCAAACUGCCUCACUGACAUCCUGGAAUGUGGAUGAAUAUGAUGCAGCUCCGAGUUGUGGAUAAAACCACGAAAUUCUCCCUGCUGCUGCCUGCGUGUGAGAACUGGAUGAACCCAGACUCUCCAUUUCUUCCAUUUGUUGUUUAAAAACAUGCAGACGAGCUCAUCAUCACUUCAUU